GGCUGCUGCACUCUGGGCAGGUGGAUUUCAGCUUCAUUCGCUCCGCUAGUCUGUGGCCAUUCUUUCAUCUGUGUCCUUAGUGCCUAGAACAAUAUCUGGAGUAUGGUAGGCAUAUCCAUGUCUCCAUAUUAUACAGAGAAGGGGACUUUGCCUGAUGCUGUCAUUGUGGUGGUUUUCACAUUGUGCAGGUUUAUUUUCCCACUGAAUUGGUAGUUUCCUUUAUUCUGGAAGAAACAGAAGACUGGCCUCCAGAAACAUCUUAACAAGAGAAUGGAUGAAACGAUUAGGCAAGGAUUUGUCUUUGAAGCUCUGAAAACAACGUGCUUUUUCCAUCACCAAGUCUACUCAUCAACACAUACCUUGUACUUUUGCCAGAAUAAAAUAAUUGGUUGCAAGGAUCACCAUGAUUAUGCCUAAAGGUAGUCACUGAAAGCUAUCAUUGGGUCUAAUACAAUGAAGUCUGGAAUCAGAAGGACCAAAACGACAAAUUUUGUCGUUUAAAAGAAGAUACGGGAUAGGAAGAUCCAAAACCACAAAGCUUUCUGGGCUCUUCUGAUGGUGCACACAACUUCCCCAGAAGUUACAUGAAUCUUCAACCAAGGGUUAUUUAUCAUCAUGCUUCAAGAUAUAGAAGGUUCCUAAUUCUACCUUCUCAGGCACUCUUGAUGGUUUCACUAUUCAAGACACCAUGCUUCAUCACGUGGACUUUACCUUCUAGAACUCCAAAUCAUAUAAUAAUACUACUUAAUAUUUGUUAGUGUGCACUGGCAUCGAUCUAAGCCCUAUGGGGUCGCCCAACAACUCCAUAAACUGGAUGCUAUUGUCAUCUCAAUCUUACAAAUGAAACAAAUAUUCCAAGGAGCCAAAGUUAAGUGAGGACACAGAAUUCAAAUUCUGAUGUGUCUUCUGCGAAAGCAUACUCUAGCAUUAGGCUCUACUGUUUCCUGACAUAUAUAAACUCAGGAGCACAAACACUGAUUAAGGGUGAUCUACCCCAGCAGCAGUUUCCUGAAGAAAUGGUUUAUUCCUUCCUGCUACCUAGAUCUACAGGGCUA